UACGUAGGUGGCAAGCGUUGUCCGGAUUUACUGGGCGUAAAGAGCGCGCAGGCGGUCGUGCAAGUCGCGUGUGAAAGCCCCCGGCUCAACUGGGGAGGGUCAUUCGAUACUGAUCGACUCGAAGGCAGGAGAGGGUAGUGGAAUUCCCGGUGUAGUGGUGAAAUGCGUAGAUAUCGGGAGGAACACCAGUGGCGAAGGCGACUACCUGGCCUGUUCUUGACGCUGAGGCGCGAAAGCUAGGGGAGCAAACGGG
rnacentral:rRNA from 1 species